UACAGAGGGUGCAAGCGUUAAUCGGAAUUACUGGGCGUAAAGCGAGCGUAGUCGGUUAUUUAAGUCGGGUGUGAAAGCCCCGGGCUCAACCUGGGAAACUUGGCAUUCAGAGUACUGGAUAGCUAGAGUUCGGCAGAGGGAAGCGGAAUUUCCGGUGUAGCGGUGAAAUGCGAUAGAUAUCGGAAGGAACAUCAGUGGCGAAAGCGGCUCCUGGACCAGAACUGACGAUCAGGCUCGAAAGCGUGGGGAGCAAACAGGG
rnacentral:rRNA from 1 species